rnacentral:rRNA from 2 species
UCUGGUGACAAUGGCAAGGAGGUCACACCUGUUCCCAUGCCGAACACAGAAGUUAAGCUCCUUAGCGCCGAUGGUAGUCGGACUGACG